AUGCAUACGAUCGGAACAAACCACCAAAACAGGACUACGGGGCACCGACUAUCACGCUUCACGCGAUUCAGAGAGAUCCAGAGAGCUGCAUCAAUCACGAGACCUUGCAUCAAUCAAUCAAUGGCGUCGCCGUUGUCUGAAAUUCCCGAGGACGUGCUACACCUCAUCAUCGACGGCCUCGUUUCCUCCAUUGAUCGGUGUGGCCUCGUCUCCACGGCGUGGUCUGGACUACGCCGGCUCCUCCACUUCUCCGAUGGCUUCGAGGCGGCGCGCCGUGCCCGGCACUCGGCCUCUGCCGAUCGUGCCCGGCGCGCCGUGUGUCGUUCGUGGCACUUGGCUAUGAGCCGGCACGUUCCGGCUCCAAGGCAGAUCCCCUGGAUUGUCAUGUCUGAUGGCUCGUUCCUCACACCUUCGGACGCCGCCGGCACCUCGCCCGCGCGCAUCCCCUCCUUGCCCAGGAACGCGAGAUGCGUAGCCUCGGCUGAUAGUUGCCUCCUCCUCGACCGCACGGAUGUCAGGAGGAAGACGCAUAGCUACUUCUUGCAUGAUCCCUUCACCAACACGACUGUGCCGCUUCCAGAGUUUGACGCUGUGAUCGGCCAUGCUUCUGAGCUUUUCGGGGUCCACAAACUGCGUAUGCGGACGACCCCUUACGACAUUAUAGUCGUCAUGACCAAUAAUUGGAAUUAUCCUAUCAUCUUGAUCCGGCCAGGGAAAGGUGUGUGGUUGCCUAAGCCACAAAGUGCUCCCUUCAUCUACAUCGUCGACACUGCAUUUCUUGGAGACAAGCUAUAUGGAAUCACUCACGCCGAGGAUCUUGUCUCUUUUGGUAUAGAUUUCGACAACAAAGGCGUACCCACCAUCACUAUCGAGCGCCUCAUCAGGCACCCACCGGGAAAUUAUUGGUUCAAAGUGUGGAGCGAUGAUAAUGGAAAUUUUGACUCCGCGAACAAUGAUACGGGAAAUAUAGAUGAGGUCGCCAAUAAUGAGGAACAGAGCAAAGAGGACACCAUAGAGCAACGCCGGAAGAAAACCGGCGAUGACAUGAUUCUUGAAGGCGUUACUCCUUGGUCGGAUGAUGAGGAUGAAGUUAGGGACCACUGGUACUUAGUCGAGUCAGGUGGAAAACUAUUAAUGGUGAUACAACAAGUUCGAGUGCCCUCCUAUAAUAUCAGCUUCACUCUCAAGGUAGAGGUUUAUGAGGCGGAUGCCUGCAAAGGUGUCCACCGCUGGGUGCCGAUUGUUGGUGGGCUAGGCAGCCAAACGCUUUUCAUCAGCAGAUUCUUCUGCAAGUCUGUUUCAACUUGUGAUGAGGCGGACCAAGAUGCUAUUCAUUUUAUCGACACGGGGGAGAAAUACAACAUGAAGUCACAAACUAUGAGCAAGACAUGGAGGGACAUUGAAUACUUUGAGUCCAUGUGGAUCUUUUCUCCCGAGCUAGUGGUUUAA
rnacentral:rRNA from 1 species